UUUUUUUUUUUUUUUUUUUCGCUUUUUAGGCAAAAAAAAGGCAUUUGGAGGUUCCCAGGCUACGGGUCUAACCAGAGCUACAGCUGCCGGGAUAGAACCCAAAAUCUCGUGGUACCUAGUCAGAUUCGUUUCCCCUGCACCAUGACGGGAACUCCUCCAUACCUUAUUAUUAAAAAAUAAAAAAGACCCACUGGGAGGACAGGAGUUUUUGCCAACCUGGAAUCUCCUCCCAGGUGUCCUCAGCUGGGACCCUGAGGACCCCUCUGCUUCCUCAGUUACCUGCCCAGCCAGGUAAAGGGUGUGGUCAUGACAGCUCCAUUCACUCACCAUUUGCUCUGUUCCUGGCAGAAACCUCAGAGAUUUCCACGUAUUAGCUCAAUCGUCCUAUUAACAGAGUCUGUUACCAUUCCCUUCUGAAGAUGAGAAGACUGAGGCUCAAAGGGGAGAAGUGGCUUUUUCAAAGUCACACAGCCAGCAACUGCUAGAGCCAGGUCUCAAGCCCAGAUCUAUCUGCUCCCAAGGCGCAUGCUUAUAACCAGAGUGUUGCCCUGCUGGGAUGCAGACUCUGGAGGGCCAGUGGGUCUGGGAAGACAGUGAUGACCUGGAGCUGGGUUCCCCAGCUGGCAGCAGGAAAAGGUCUUCCUCCUAAUGUUGCUGAGCCAAAGGGGCAGUACUUUAGUUUCAUGUAGGGAGAAGUAUCAAACAGGAGACCCCCCAAUUCCUCUUUGAAGUGGGAGCCAGAGGCCAGAGCUACCCGGCAAGAGAUGGCUGGAUGCCACGUGUCAACGGAGGGCCAGAAACACACCAGUGGGUGUCGGCAUAACCCGAAGGAGCCUUGGGUUGGGCACCAAUGCCUAGUGGUGGGCAGAUCCCAUACUGACUCUGUGCUGGGCAAUGGAAGAGGGGUGCAGAAGAAGCUCCUCGCUGGUCAUGGUGUCCUGUUUAAGCUGAAGAAAUGGAGGCCUUAAAACACACUGCGUAGGAGUUCCCUGGUGGCUCAACAGCUUAAGGAUCCAGCAUUGUCACUGCUGUGGCUCUGGUGACAACUGUGGCAUGGAUUUGAUCCCUAGCCCAGGAACUUCUGCAUGACGCGGGCAUAGCUAAACCCCAACUCCAACAACAUACUACGUAAAAAUUAGGCAUAGAAUUAUCACAUGAUCCAGCAAGUCUACUCCUAGGUAUACAUCCAAAAGAAUUGAAAGCUGAGAUUCAAACAGAUAUCUGUACACCCAUGUUCAGAGCAGCAUUAUUCAUGAGUCAAAAGCAACACAAGUGUCCACUGACAGGUGAAUGGAUAAGCAAAAUAUGGUGUCUACAUACAGUGGAAUAUUAUUCAGUCUUUACAAAGAAGGAAAUUCUAAUAAAAAUCAUUGUAUAAAAAAAAGGAAGGAAAUUCUGACACGCUACAACGUGGAUGAACCUCGAGGACAUUAUACUAAGUAAAAUAUGUAAACCAAUUACAAAGGGACAAACAUUGUAUGAUUCCACUUGUAUAAGGUACCUAGAGUCAUCAGAUUCUUAGAAAAUAGAACGGUGGUUGCUGGGGCUGGGGGGAAGGAAAUGGGGAGUUAUUGUUUAAUGAGUGCAGAGUUUCAGUUUGGGAAGAUAAGAAAGUGCGGAAGCAGCAGGGAUGGCUGUGCAACAACGUGAACGUACUUAAUGCCAGUGAUCUGUACGCUUAAAAAGGGUUAAAAUGGAUUUCCCGUUGUAACGCAGUGGAAACGAAUCCAGCUAAUAUUCAUGAGGAUGCGGGUUCGAUCCCUGGCCUCCCUCAGUGGGUCGGGGAUCUGGCGUAGCUGUGAGCUGUGGUGUAGGUCACCGACACGGCUCAGAUCCUACACUGCUGUGGCUGUGGCAUAGGCCAGCAGCUGUAGCUCGGAUUCGAGCCCUAACCUGGGAACCUCCAUAUGCCGCAGGUGUGGCCCUUAAAAAAAAGAAAAAAGAUGAAAAUGAUCAAAAUUUAAUGUUAUGCACAAUUCACCAUAAUAAAAAACCCUCCAAAGUUAUCAUUUCCCUUACUUCUAAUAAAAAUUCUUCCUAUCUGGCAUUGUCACUGAAGUGGCUCGUGUCGCUGCUGUGGGGCAGUUACCAUCCCUGGCCCAAGAACUUCUUCAUAUCACAGGCACAGUAAAACAAAACAAAACAAAACAAAACAAAAAAAACCUCUUCCUAAAAGAAAUUACAGGAGUUCCCAUUGUGGCACAGUGGUUAACGAAUCUGACUAGGAACCAUGAGGUUGCAGGUUCGAUCCCUGCCCUUGCUCAGUGCGUUACCGAUCCGGAGUUGCCUUGAGCUGUGGUGUAGGUUGCAGACGCGGCUUGGGAUCCUGUGUUGCUGUAGCUCUGGCGUAGGCCGGCAGUUACAGCUCCGAUUCGAUUCGACCCCUAGCCUGGGAACCUCCAUAUGCCGCAGGAGCGGCCCAAGAAAUGGCAAAAAAAAAAAAAGAAAUUACAAAGGUAAACCCCUGCCCCCCACCCCCAAAAAAAACACAUACUAUAUAAUCCUUAUUGAGUGCUUGUGCCAGGCACUCUGCUGAAUGUUUUCCUUUUGUCAUCUAUUUAGUCCUGCACAACAUUCACAGCGGGGAUUAUUUCUCCCAUUUUCCACAGGAGAAAACCGAGUCUCUCAGGGACUCAUCCCAGGGCUUACAGCUAGGAAGGAACUUAACCAUUAUGACCACAAAAGGAAAUCGACUUGCCCAGGAACACACAGCCGGAAAGUGACAGCUCCAGGCAUGUUCGACUCACCCUGGUACAGGGACAAAGUGGGAAAAAAAAAAAAAAAGUGGGAGAAAACAAGUUUUUGGCAUAUUUAACCUCUGGGCAGAGUGGAGAGGCAGCCUGGAGGCUGGCAAAGAGGGUCCGUCAGAGGCCAGUAGGGAGCCCAGCCUGAAAGCAGACACCUUUCAUCUCAGAAAGUCCCUGGGACAGAUUUUCCGCCCUGUGUUUUACUGCCUGCUGGGAGUUGCAGGGAAUCAGAGCAUGUCCAAUAAAUGUUUUAUUCCAUCCUGAGCUGGCCCUCUUGGGCAAAAUAAGCUCCUUCAUCCAGGAGUAAAUGAAGGGGCAAGCAUUUCUAGGGCACCGACAUGGGGAAUGGUCUCUUUAUUUCACACGGAAAACCUGGCUCAGAGAGGUAAAGCGACUUUGCCCAGGCCCACACAGCUGGCCAGCCCCCGAGGUCCAAACCCGGGUACCUGGCUUCGGACCUGGGGCCCAGCCUAUAUUACCCGCCACCCUGGAGCUCUCUGAGAGCUGGGGCUGCCUCCCUCGCAGCCCCUGGGUCCUCCUUCUGUGUUUUUCUAAUGCAGGAACACUCAGCAGGCUAUGGACACGGGACAUUCCCAUGGCAUUGAAUCUGCAGAAACUCUCUUCCCUGCCCUAAAGGGCACCAAACUGCUAGGUCAUCAAAAAUCUAUGAAGGUGAAUUCCUGUUGUGGCUCUGCGGUGUGAGCCUGAUGUGACUAGCAUCCUUGAAGAUGCAGAUUCGAUCCCUGACCUUGCUCAGUGGGUUAAGGAUCCAGCACUGCCGUGAGCUCUGGUGUAGGUCACAGAUGCAUCUUGGAUCUGGCUUUGCUGUGGCUGUGGUGUAGGCCGGCAGCUGCAGCUCCGAUUCAACCCCUAACCUGGGAACUUCCAUGUGCCUCCGGUGUGGCCCUAAAAAGAAAAAAAAAAAAAUCUAUGAGGGUGACUUUUCUUGGAAAGGCCCUCCAUGUGUGCCUCCUUCUCCAGCCCCAUCUCCCACCAGCCUCUGCCCUCCUUCCUCCCCCAGUUCCUCCAAGCCGCUGUCUUCUUUGUCACCCCAGGCCUUCGCCUCUGCUGCGCCCCCUCCUAGAGGCUGCCCCACCCCUGCCUUUGCUGAACUAACCCCUGCUCAUUCUCAGGUCUCAGUCUGAACGUCACUUCUUCUGGGAAGCCCUCCUUGAUCCUCUCUCUGGUCACCACUGCACCCUGUACCACUCACACACACACACACACACACACACACUCCUACACACUCACUCUCACACACUCACACUCACACUCAGAGACACACAUACCUUAUCCAAGGUGCCCCAGUGCUUAAAAUGCCACCCGGCACAGAACAGGCUCUCAAUACAUUUCAAUAAAUUGAAUAAGGUCACAAAAAGAAUCCAUUCGAAUGCAGUUAACAAUCCUGGAUUUGUCACUAAGUAACUGAAGAGGCCUUGGGCAAGAUGCUUCAGGUCUCCGGGACUCAGUUUUCUCAUGGGUAAAAUGGGUAGAAAAUAAGAACCUUCCUGGGAGUUCUCGUUGUGGCACAGCAGAGGUGAGUCCAGCUAGUAUGCAUGAGGAUGCAGGUUCGAUUCCUGGCAUGGCCAUGACCUGUGGUGUAAGUCGCAGACGCGGCUUGGAUCCAGCAUUGCUGUGGCUAUGGUGUAGGCUGGCGGCUGGAGCUCUGGUUUGAUCCCUAGCCUGGGAACUUCGAUAUGCCGCUGGUAUGGCCCUAGAAAGCAAAAAGAAAAAAAAAAGAAAAAGAAAAAAAGAAUCUUCCUCACAAGGUUUGUGGAGUCACUGGGUGAUUCUAUGUAAAGUGCUUGACUGUGACCCAGGUCAUAGCAGGGCCUUCGUGAACCUUAGGUACUGCUGUGCUUUGCAACUUGGGCGCCCCCCAUGGCCCUCAAGUCCCCCCAUUGGGGAGAAAAGUCGCAUGUGCAGAGAUCAAUAUCUGCUUCAGGAAUCUGUGAGCUCCUGGACUGGAAGUUUGAGGCAUACAGGCACCUUGGCCUUCAAGGACUUUAUGAUUCAGUGGAGGAGAAAGGCCCUAAAUGGACAAUGACAGACAGCAGUAGAGGGAUAUGGUGGCGGGGUGUUUCUCACGGGAACCCCAAGGAUGGCUCCCCAGGUGAGGCUGUGAGGCUGGCACUUUGCUGGGAAGGAAAAGUAAGUUUCCCAGGUAGAGAUUUUGGUGGAGGGGAGUCCUGUGGGUGGAGGGGAGAAGCUGGGCAGAGGCCUGGAGGUGUUACAGAGAACAGAGAGCGGUGAACCGGUCAGAAGGACUGGAUGCCUGCAGGGGCUGGAGGAGGCGUGGGGGGCUGUGGAUUGAGGGUGAGGAUUAGAGGGCAAGGUCGUCAGAUGUACUGUCUGGAAAGAGUGUGAACAGGGCUGAGCCUGGCAGAAGAGAUCCCUUCCAACCUGUUCCCCCGAGGUUUAUAGGAAUAAAAGUGACUGGGCUUGGGGGUCGGGUAGACCUUGCUUCCUGUGGCUCCAUUCCUUGGAGAUGCAUGGCAAGUCACUGGCCCUUCCUGAGCCUCUUUCUUCCUUUCUUCCUUUCUUUCUUUCUUGUGUUUUGAUCUUUUCUAGGGCC
rnacentral:lncRNA from 1 species